UGCCCAAAAUGGUAAGGCAUCCCAUGCCCAACUUUGUCCAUCCAUCUCCUGUAUUCAGCAACCCAUGUAUCUGAAGAUUUCAAGUUAAGGUACAACUCUUUGGUGGGUACUUUUUCUUUCAUGAGUACCUCAUUUUGAGAUGAAAGAAAUCCCAUAUCUUGCUCAAAGACCUUGCCUGCAUUCUGAUGAAAAUACCAUACGGGAAACAAUUUUGCCAGUGGAGACCUUUUUGUUCCACCAAAUCUCACAAUUAGCAUGGAUUUCCCCUGUCCAGUUGGCCUACAGAGAAAUAGACCCGUGAAGUAGUGCUUCUCCCCAUCCUUGUCAACAAUUUCUCUAUUGUUUUGAAGAGAACAUGGUGCUUCAAACCUUAAGAAGCUUUUGGCUGAUGGAUCACUUGUCUUGCCCCACCAACCUGCGAAUCCUCUAUCGCUGCGCUCGGUGACCUCAAAGCGCAGCGGCUGAGCAUCUUCCCUUUUUGCACUCCAGUCUGUCCUGUCAUGUGAGAUUGGAACAUGGGCAGGAUCCAUGAGAUUCUCCAAAAGUAUAGAGUGGUCAUACGGGAGCUCAUGGGUUGUAGAAGUAUCUUGAAACCCUGGCCGAGCAAAGUUCUCAAACCAAGGUAUCUUUGAAGGGUUUGGUGGUGUAUUCUGAGACAUCCAAACCCACACAACCCCUUGUGAGUCCCUCACCUCAUAUGUCUUCAAACAAGCUGAUUUAGGAAUUUUGGCAUCAGCUGGAAGCUGUGAUAUUACAGACACAAUUAAAGAGACAUUCAACAUCAUUAACAAUCUUAAUUAAUCAAAAGACAGACAGACAGACCGACAGACCUGAGGGAUCUUUACACAUUUUCCUUGGGCUUCAAAUUGCCAUCCAUGAUAUAAACAUUCUAGUCUUCCAUCAAUCAACUGGCCUUCGGAUAGUUUCGCCAACCUAGCUAAGAUUGGAUUGUCAUGUCAUGACCCAAGUUUUAUUUUCAUUAGUUAUAUAGUAUUGACAAAGCAAGAAGAUGAAGAUACAAAGUUCAAUAUGACAAAGAUUUCAUCCAAAACGAAAAUUCUAAUUCUAAAGCAACUAUAAAUCUUUCCAUGCUAUAUAGAAGAAUCUACAGGCAAAGAUAAGUUUACCUGUGGGGGCAGCGAUCUUGGUAGCACUGGAGCUCUCCACUGCCGUCCUUGUACAGCACAAGUUGCUUAUCAAACACAGUCAAGCCCAAAGGUGCGUCGUCCGGAAUGUCCUGGGUGAGGUACAGAGGGUACCAUUCCUCUGUCCAAUCAUAGUCCACCACGACCCGCUCUCCUCUCCUGUCAGCCUCGCUGGUGGGACCCACCAAGACCUUGUGAUCCUCCUCCUCCUCCUGAUGUUCAUCAAGUGGGGGAGCAGGAGGUUUGAUGUCUGCAACUGCACUACACUUGAUGGUGCUUAGCUGCUUUCUUGUUGGAAUUAAGGGUCUCAGAGGGUGGGGUGGGGAGGAGAGAGAUAAGAGCAGUUUGAGUGGCUGUGGUUGUCUGGGAGUUUUGGGGAGGUGGUGGAGAGACGUGGAAUGAGAAAGAAAGGGAUGAAACAAAGCCAUGUUUGAUUGUAUUGGAGAGGAAACAAAGGAAGAGGGAGAUGAUGACAUGACUGGCUGGCAGGGAGAGCUAAGGAGGAGGAGGAAAUAAUAAAGCCAUCAUCACGGUGAAUAAUAUGUGAUGAUACACAGAGAGAGAGAGAGAGAGAGAGAGAGAGAGAGAGAGAGAGAGAGUAGUGUGACAGUGAAAUUGGGUUGGGGGUUGCUUUGCUUAGUAGCUUGUUGCACUCCUGGUAGCCACACAAUCUUUUCUUUGGUCAAUCAACAAGAAAUAGUGGUAGCUACUCUACUAUGACUGUUUAGUUACACACAUAGACCUGUAUCUGUGUGUACCAUUUUUGGUACUCAAAACAUUGUUUAUUUCAUCCUUGGGUUGGGGAAGCUAUGGCAUUUUAUGGGGUUCCGUUAUAUUAUAUGCAUUGUUAUGUGAGGCACAGCGCAAUAUAUACAUAUAUAAUUGGUUUGGUGGGGUUUUGUUUUGUGAAACAUCCAAACCCAUACAAACAUCCCAGGAGUAAGGACUGUUCUUGUGUGAGGUUGAUGAGGACUCUUCUCUUCUCCACCAUCUCCUUGGACUGUAAUGACCCUUAUCAUUAAGGACAGGUCUUUGCAUUGCAGGGUGGUGGUGUGGCUUACAAACUUGUUGAUGCUCUUGGCCCUCACUAUAGAAUUCUCCCCGGGACUUCAUAACUUGGGCUUCCAUGUAAUGUUAUGAAUCUACCCCAGACCCAGUUCUUGUGGUAUGGCCAGGCCCAUGAAUAUUUCUAUUUAGUUUUGUUUGGGCCCGAAAAAUGACGGUACUACGAUAUAAAAUGAUAAAACUUGAUAUCAUUAGCAACUGGCCUAUUAGCUCAGCUGGUUAGAGCGUCGUGCUAAUAACGCGAAGGUCGCAGGUUCGAGACCUGCAUGGGCCAUAAUUCUCUUUUGGUUUUUUUUUGUUUCGUCCCGCAUUUUUGUUGUUGUUUCCAGUCCUUUUGAUCAAGUGGAGGGGAGGUGCAUGUUCAUUUGAUGCCUGUGAGUUCGAAAAUUAGAGUUGAUGGUUUUAGUGGGUACGAGGAGAUAGGGAAAAGCAAUUGACUGGUGGUGUCGUAUUGGGGAGAUGGAAAGUUAAGCCAGAGAAAUUGGCGGGACAAGAAAAGACAUUGGUGGAGUGAGUAUUAGUUAGUGAACACUGAACAGUGAAUAGAAAAAGGCUGGAUUUUUCUUGAACACCUUCUCAUUUUGUUGAAUUUGGUAAAAACCCACCUCACCUUUUCAAUUUCCUUCUUUUGUUAUGGUGGAAUACAAAAUACCAAUACAUACACAAUCAUGUUUACUUGGCUUGGAAAUAUUUCUACAUGAUGAUGGAUUAUGACUCAAAAAUCACAAUCUCCUGUGUGUUCUUAUGAAGUUUGUUGUAUUCAAUGCAACAGCAGCUGAGCAUGCAUAAGCUCCAGCUGAGAACACAGCCGCUGACACCAGCAAAAUGGCUUUCCACUGCCUCCCAGCCACUAAAAUAGCCACUGAGAUCAGCCCAAGAGCAAUACCAGAAAGACCAAUUUUCCAGGCUUCAAAACUCUUCACAACAUCUCUGCACCCUUUGCAAUGAAUCACAUGCCUGAAAUACCGGUUGGUCCAAUUCGGAACAUGCAGGCUUCCAAUGCCUCCCUUAGCUGGUUGAGAUGCUGAAACACUAGCAACAAGUCCUGCUGGCGCAUGUUCUACCAUGGCUGGCUCAUUGGGCAAUGAUAUAGUGCUGUGCCCAACAUGAUAAGGCAUGCCAUGCCCUACUCUGUCCACCCAUUUCCUAUACUCAGCUACCCAUACAUCAGAUGAUUUCAAAUUAAGGUACAGAUUUUUUGUGGGAGAUUUUUCUUUCAAAAGUAUCUCAUUUUGAGAUGAGAGAAAUCCCAUAUCUUGCUCAAAAACUGUACAUGAAAUGUGAUGGAAGUACCAAUCUGGGAACAAUUUAGCCAAAGGGGAUUGCUUGGUGGCUCCAAACCUCAUAAUGGCCAUCGAUUUUCCCUGUCCUGUUGGUCUACAGAGGAAGAGACCAACAGAGUAGUGCUUCUCACCAUUCUUGUCUACAAGUUCCCUUGUGUUUUCAAUAACACCAGGUGCUUCAAACCUUAAGAAGUAAGGCAAGGAUUGGUCUUUUGCCUCACCCCAAUAGCCUGCAAAACCUCUAUCAGUCCUCUCAGUCACCUCGAAUCUCAGCGGCUGUGCAUUUUCUCUUUUCGCAGUAAAACCCGUCCUGUCGUGUGAGAUUGGAAUGUGGGCAGGAUCCAUGAGAUUCUCCAGAAGAAUAGAGUGUUCAUAAGGGAGAUCAUGGAUUGUUGAAGAAUAAUCAAAGCCAGGCCUGUCAAAGUUUUCAAACCAAGGUAGCUUGUUGGGUUCGGGUGGUUUUUUGUGAGACAUCCAAACCCAAACAACACCUUGAGAGUCCCUCACCUCAUAUGCUUUAACACAAGCUGCUUUAGGAAUUUUAGCACCAGAUGGGAGCUGUGUAGUGCAUGCAGAGAUCAAUUAAGGUCCCUUGAUUAGUGUGGAAUAUUGUUAAAUCAAUUAAAAUGGGAACUAUAUAUAAUGAAAUGAAACAAAAAGUUUUGAGUUACAAACACUCAUAAGACACAUACAAAUUACCUGUGGAAUCUUUACACAUUUUCCUUGGCCUUGGAAUUGCCAACCAUGAUAUAAACACUCCAGUCUUCCAUCAAUCAACUGGCCUUCUGAUAGUUUUGCAAGCCUUAAAGGAAAGGGAAAAAAAACGCACACACACCAAAGAAUUCACUUUUUGUUAGCCAUGAAGUAGAAACUCUAAAGGAAACAAAACAGAGGAAGCAGAACAAGAUUUUCACUUAAGAUUUUGUGAAUGAAAAGAGGUUAUGAAUCAUGAGAUUACUAAAAGUAUUAAGUUUUUACCUGUGACAGCAACGAUCCUCGUAACAGCGAAGCAGGCCAGAGCCAUCACGAUACAAAACGAGCUGCUUAUCAAACACAGUAAGGCCUAAAGGUGCAUCUUCUGGCAGGUCCUGGGUUAGAUACAGAGGGUACCAUUCUUCUGUCCAAUCAUAUUCAGCCACGACCCUUUCACCUCUGUGCUCUUCUUCACCGGAAGGACUCACUAGAACCCUGUGAUCUUGUUCCUCUUCUUUCAGAUCAUGAUCAAGUGGAGGAGGUGCAGCAGCCUUGUGUUUGAUAUCAUCAGUGACUGCAUUAAAACUAAUUUUGUGGCUCUUUUUAUUUGUGAAUAUUAAUGGAAAUGGUUUGAGAGGUGGGUUUGAUUUGGCUGUUGUUGAUGUUAAUGGUUUUGAAGCAGUGGAAGAAGAGGGAAAGGUGUGUGAGACUAAAGGGUGAACCAGAGCCAUGUUUCUGCUGCUGAUCAAAUUAUUAAUGCACAGUUAUGUUCUGAUCACUUGAGAUUAAAAGAGAGAGAUACUGAUUAGGAGAGAGAGAGAGAGAGAGAGAGAGAGAGGGUGAAGAAGUUGUGUGGUGGUUGGCGUUGCUGGCAAGGCUCUGGGACUGUCGGAAAAGUCUCUGUUUUCUUUUUCUAGGGAAACGUUGCCGUGCUACUUUUGAUUUGUGUGAUGAAAUCUCCACAUGUUGUUGCCUUGAAAGGGAAACAUGUGACCCACUUCUACACCGUUUUGUCGAUGUGAUGUGAAAAACGUUUCAACUUUUAUCAUGAGAAUUUCGUAAUGUUCUCUUAGUAAUUAGAGUUUCUGUUCUGAUUGGUUUGCUUAUUGCAUUUGGAAUUUGAUUUUCAGUUGAUUAUAUGUUUCUUUUUUUCAAUUCAAUAUUUUCAAGAAAUUUGUAGUUUAAGAGUUAAAGAGCAUUGAUUCAUGUAUGUCAGCUAAUUAUUCGGAGAAAUAAUACAAUAAUACAGUACCACCACGUGGCACUGCCAGGUAGUAAUACACACCAAUUGCAUAACGACAUGUGGCAGAGAGAGAAUGUUAACAUCCAGAUUGAAUGGUAACACCGUUAGUAACCAACUCUCUUUUUUAUUUUUUAUUUUUAUUUUAAGAAAUAAAAAAGAAAUCCUAAGAUAUAAUUACUUUUAUCGAAAUCUGCACCACUGUUACUAUUUGUCGAUUACUGUAGUUUUUAUUUGUCGAUUGAUACAGAUUUUUGUUUCUUCAGUCUAUUGCUGCAGGUUUUUUUAUUUUAUUUUAUUUUUAUUUUUAUUGUUGCAGGUUAUACAGGUUGUUUCUUUUUUUAUUUUAUUUUAUAUAUUUGUUAUUAUUUCUAUGUUUGAUAAGAUGAUGUUGUGGCAUGUGCCAGUAUUCAUUGAUGUUGAAAGUGACGAAGAAAAAGUAAGAGAAAAAGAUCCAAUGAUUGUUAACUGUGUAGAAAAUAUUGAUGAUGAUUUGCUUAGAAGGGUUGUGUUGUGUCCACAAAAGAGAAAGUUUAUAAUCUCUACAACAAUUAUGCUACGAGAGUUGGAUUUAGUGUUCGGAGGGGACAAAAGAGAUACAAUACAAAAAAAGUUAUGCGCAAUUUAGUUAUCUUUGUUGAAAAGAAGGUUUUUGACUAGAUACUGACCCUUCGGAAUUGAGCAAGGUUAGCAAAUUAGAGACAAGAAUUGGUUGCGAAGCUAGUAUUCGAUUUGCAUUCCAGGAUGAAGAUGAUACGUGGAAAGUUUCUCAUUUUGUUCCUUAGCAUAACCAUGAACUUGCUAAGCCAGAAGAGAGGCAAUUUUUGAGAUCAAAUAGAAAAUUUUCAGAUUCAAAUUUGAGUGAGAUUAAAAUAAUGGUGGGUGCAGGAAUACGUACCACAAAUACAUAUUCUUAUUUAGCAGAAGACGUUGGCAGGUCUCAAAAUGUUGGUUUUACAAAAAGAGAUUGCUACAAUGUUGUGAACAGGGAGAAAAUGGCCAUGAUUGAAACAGGGGAUGCUCAAAGCUUGAUGAAUCUUUGCAAGCACAAACAAGCUGAAGAUUCUAUGUUCUUUUACACAGUUCAAGUUGAUCAAGAAAAUUGAACGACAAACUUUUUUUUGGAGAGAUGGAAGGUCACGAAUUGACUAUGACUGUUUUGGAGAUGUGGUAGUAUUUGAUACUACUUAUCGAACUAAUAGGUAUAACAUGAUAUGUGCUCCUUUUGUCGGCGACAACCACCAUUGGAAAAACGUACUAUUCGGGUGUGCUUUCUUAUUGGAUGAGAAAACUAAUUCAUUUAUUUGGUUAUUUGAGACAUUUUUAGAAUCAAUGGGAGGUCGAAAACCAAAGACGAUUUUUACUGAUCAAUAUCAGGCAAUGGCAAAUGGCAUUCAAAACGUUUUUCCUAGGGUAUGUCAUCGUUUAUGCUCGUGGCACAUAUCUCAAAAUGCUGCAAAAAAUUUGGGAAGUCAUUAUGGUAAUCAAGAGUUUAACCAUAUGUUCAAUAAGUGUUUUCAAGGAUAUUGUGAGACAGAAUUGGAAUUUCAAUCUAUCUGGGAUGACUUAUUAGCAAAAUUCAACCUUACAGGCAACCCAUGGUUGAUGACACUAUAUAAUCUUCGUGCAAAAUGGUGUCCAGUAUUUAGCAAGCAUAUUUGUACUGCUAGGAUAAAAUAUUCACAAAGAAGUGAGAGCACAAAUAAUGUUUUUCAUCAAAUGUCUACUAAGACAAUGAGUCUUACUCAAUUUGUGCAUCACUAUGAUAAAUAAGCGGAAAAAAUGCGUUCAAGUGAAUUAGAAGAGUCUUUUUGUUGCAAUCAAGGACUCCCUUCUAGAAUUGCCAAAAGCAGUGUAAUUUUGAAUCAUGUUGCUACUGUCCACACAAGGAAAAUAUUUAAAUUAUUUGAAAAGGAGUUUGUAGAUAGUUUGGCAGUGAUGAUGCAUGAGGUUGGAAGUGAUUGCACAAUUCACUCACUUGAACUUAAUGAAGAGGGUCACAACAGAGUUUACCUUGUCCAUUUAAUGAUGUAUUGAGUAAGGCAGCAGACAAUUUAAUGGAGUAACACUUUCUUUUUUCUCUCUCUCUUUUAGGAUUCCAAUUCUACAAGGACAUCAUAUCAACCUAAUUUGUCGUUUACAAGCAUGCUACAAAGUACUAAUUUCAUGGCACAUUUGAAUCAGGAUGGUUUAUCUAUAGCUUAUGCCUAUUUUGAAAUAUUUAACUGACAUGAAGCUAUAUAUAAUGCAGGAUUCACAUUCAAAUGCUUAUGAGCAGCAACAUAAUCCAUACAAGUAAUGUCUCCUUAAGGUGUUGUCUAAGACUAAAAUAAUUACAAUUAUUUUCAGUUACUUUUAACUUAUCUCCCACAACAUUCCUUCUCCUUCCAUGGAAUCCAAACGACACGCUGCAGUUCCAUAAAAGUUUGAAGAGCAUAUCAAAUGAAAGGAAAUAAAGUGAUUACUCAAAAGAAAGGAACUGCAUUUAAUCUAAUGAAAGGAAAUAAAGUGAAAACAAGGAACUGUUCAGGGGAGGACAUAUGCCAAAAAAAUAAAAUCCAAAGUUCGCACCCCCAGCAAUAAUAUACUCAAAUUGUAAGGUAAAACAAAUAGCAAAAAAACAGAGCAAUAAGUAUUAUCCAUUAAUAAUAUACCCUAAUCGAAUGAAUUUCUACACCUCAUAAAUUAAGAAAUAAAAUCAACAUGUAUUAAUUGCAACAAGAAAAUGCAAGAAUGCUACGAAAAACCAAACCGAAAUAAAACCCCUUCCAUCUCACAACUUAAAACACAACCAAAACCCCAAAAUAAAAACAGAUUUCGAUAAUAUGCCUUAGGUUUCUUUUCUAUUUCUUAAAAUAAAAACAAAAAACAAAAAAAGAGUUGGUUACUAAGGGUGUUACCAUUAAAUAUGGAUGUUAAUGCUCUCUCUCUUAAAAGACAGCCACGCCACAUGUUGUUAUGCAAUUGGUGCAUACUACCACCUGGCAAUGCCACGUGGUAGUAUCGUACUAUUGUAUAAUUUCUCAAUUAUUUGAUACCUCUCUUAUUUAAUAUUGCUUGUGAGCUAAGAAGUUAUGAAUACAAUUAUCGUUUAAUCCAAAAAAAAUAUUGCUUGUGUCAAGAAAGAAGAAAACUCAAUAUUCAACAUUUUUUAUUUAGCUUAUAAUGUUUAUGGCACCCUAAAAAUCUGUCUUAGAGAAAAGUAACACAUUAAAAUUUUGUAGUCUAUCACUUUACGAAUUUUUUUUAUUUAAAAUUUUUGAGAAAUUCUGGAAUUGCUUUACGAUAAACUAACAUCCAUUAGUGUUUUUUUUUGGUAAUUAAAAUUUCGGUUCAAUACAUCUUUUUUUCCUUUUUUUCUUUUAUCAAAAGAGGUUCAAUAAUAAUAAUAAUAAUAAGCUUUAUUUAUUAUAAAUAUAUUAAUUAGUUCAAAAUUCAAUCCACCUCAGUAUUGGGCAAAAAUCCGUCUUAAAAAAAGCGGUGAACAAAACCCAAAGGGAAGCUUUGCUUAAACCCCAGUAUUGGGUUGGGUUCCCUGCACUCCAGCUUGUGGCUCGGAUUUGGGAAUCAGAAUGAAAAUCGCAGUAGAAGGUUGUAUGCAUGGCGACCUCGACAAUGUCUACAGAACCCUCCAACACUACGAAAAACUUCACAGCACCAAAAUCGACCUUCUCCUCUGCUGCGGCGACUUUCAGGUACGUUACUCGCUUGCCCAAAUUUCGAGCUUUUUUCUUCAUUGAAUUGUUUCUGAAAUUUAACGAUGUUUAGUUGAAUACAAUUGUUUUCGGGAGGACUAGGCUGUGAGGAAUGAGAAGGAUUUGGAGAGCUUAAGUGGGCCUGAAAAUUUUCAAAUUGCCCCUAAACUUACAACUUUCAGUUUCGUUCUUUGCUUAUUUGCCCUAAAGUUUCAAGCUUUUUUAUUUGUUUGAUUGUUUCUGAAAUUGGACAAUAUUGGUCUAUAAGUAUUUUCGUGAAAUUAGGCUGUGAGGAAUGAGAAGGAUUUAGAGAGUUUAAAUGUGCCUCGAAAAUAUCGGGACAUGAAGACCUUCUGGAAAUACUAUUCCGGCGAGGAAGUUGCUCCGUUCCCCACAAUAUUCAUCGGUGGAAAUCACGAAGCUUCUAAUUAUUUGUGGGAACUGUGAGUCCCUUCUUCAGCUAUAAGCUAUAGCAUUCCCUUCCAAUUUUUCUGUUUGUCGUUUUUUAUUUUUAUUUUUUAAUGAAUAAUGUCUUGCCAUUUUCCCUGUGAUUUUUACUCUUUUUUUUGUUUUUUUUUUGUUUUUUUGUUUUCUGUUUUUCAGGUAUUAUGGAGGGUGGGCAGCACCUAAUAUAUACUUCUUGGGGUUUGCUGGGGUAGUCAAGUUUGGAAACAUUCGAAUUGGUGGGCUGUCUGGAAUUUACAACCGGCACAAUUAUUGCAGAGGUUAGUUUGCUUUAAAUUUGUGUCAUUCCAGAUGUUUAUUACUUUGCUUAUCGUUUGUUGAUGAAACAUAGUUAUUUAUGUUGGGAUAUUGUUCUUAUUCUUAAGUAUAGCUAUGGUAUGGGCAAUUUUUUGCUAUAUGGGGUGUUAUAACAAGGGUAACUUGUUCCUCCUCCUGAGCAGGGCACUAUGAGAGGCCUCCUUAUAAUGAGAGUACUAUCAGGUCCAUAUAUCAUGUUCGUGAGUAUGAUGUCCACAAACUCAUGCAAGUUGAGGAACCAAUUGAUAUUUUUCUUUCACAUGAUUGGCCUGUUGGCAUCACUGAUUGUGGGGACUGGAAGAAACUUGUUCGGGACAAACCUUUUUUUGAGAAGGAGGUAAUUGCAAGAAUGGAAAAAUGAGUUGGUAAGCUUUGAUAGGUAUGAUUUUAAAUAUCUUGUGUCGUUUAAAAUGUUGUUAGGUUCAGGAAAGAAAUCUUGGGAGUAAACCAGCUGCUCAAUUGCUAGAAAAACUGAAACCACCUUAUUGGUUUUCAGCUCAUCUACACUGCAAAUUUGCUGCUCUUGUUCAGCACGAGGAAGAUGGUUCAGUGACAAACUUUCUUGCCCUUGACAAGUGCCAACCAGGACGCAAAUUUCUGCAGGUAUUUGAUGUGAUUUUGAAUGUAGUAUAUAGGGUGUUCCCCUGGAGUCAUUGCUGGUAGCUAAUGGUUCUAUGUGUGACAUUUUCUGGUUUUUUAGGUUAUUGAAAUUGAAUCUGAGCCAGGCCCUUAUGAAAUCCAGUAUGAUGAAGAAUGGCUAGAAAUAACUCGGCGAUUUAACUCUAAUUUCCCUCUCACAAAUAGAAGUGCAAAUUUUUGGUGUGUACUUGAUCCGACUGUUAAACCUUUUCUUCCUCUUUACCCUUUUAACUUUCUUUUUCUAUUGUAAAGUAGCUACUAAGUGCGUAUGUUAUACUGUAGGAAUGUACAUCUUGACAAGCAAGAUUGUCGUCAAUGGGUCAGGAGAAAUUUACAAGCAAGAGGGGCUAGACCUUUUGAAUUCACCCAGACAGCUCCACCUUACAAUCCCUCUAACUCUGUCCUGAGCGGUACCUUUCCCGGUAAGGAUAAUUAUGCCAUCCUUUGUGUAAUAUCAUUUGAUAUGUUGAUAAACAAGAACAUCUUAUGUUAAUACUACAAUUUUUCUUUUGGCAGAAUACACUCGGAAUCCUCAGACAGAAUCUCUUUUGCAGUUUCUGGAACUUCCUUACCUUCUUGAUAACACAUCAGAAUCAUCACAAGUACCCAGGAGUCCUCUUCCAUUGAUCCGUACAGGUAACAAUUUUUUCUUCUCUGUCCUUGUUAAGAAUUUUCUCUUUUAAGCUUUCCUAAAACUAAUUUCAAAGCUUUCUGUAGGUUCUCUUGAAGAUAACAGUGAAGACAUUCCCAUUGAUGAUGUAGAUGAUGUGGAUGAGUUGGAAGAACUAGCUGAAGAUGCGGUGGAUACUAAAACUGAAAAUAUUUGAAGCUCCUGUUGUGUAGUUGUGUUGCUUUCUGUCAGUUUCAAAAUAUUUUUGCUGAUCAAUGACAUUAGGUUCUCUCAGUUGAAGUUUAUGUAAUCGAAUUUCAUGUAUGGUCAAUCAGGUUGGUCUGGGGUCUGGCCUCGUCUUCCAGCCCCUCUGACCUCUUUUUUUCAAAAUUUUCAUUGUUUUAGGCCAGUUAGUUUUAGACUAUCUUUUAUUCAUUGUCUAAUUUCUGUAAGGGUGAGCAAAUCACAUACUGGCCCAAUAAGAACAAGAGAUAUACUGACUUGUGUAAAAAUCAUUCAUCUGUCUAACAGAUGAAAUUUUAUAGGUUUAUUUAUUUAUUUUUAUCAUGACUAGUUCUUGUACGAUUUCAAAUACACGGUCUUCGUCUCCAUUUUUUCAAUUCGAUCAAUGCAUUCCUCAUCUUCUUAUGUAUCACGUGAAUCUUAUCCUAGACAUCAGUUCUAUCCGAUUUUCAAAAUUUCCCGAGAGUUAAUAAAUGGGGUCUGAAUCUGAUAAUAAAAAAUGUUUGCUUUCAUAGAGCCACACAAAAUCCUAUUUUUGCUUCUUUCUUUUCUUGGUGCGAUGAGUAAUUUUCUCAACCAAAGUGAAGCCAUCUACCUUCUGACAUUACCAAAACCACAUUAAUGCAGCCUUAAAUAAAACUUACAACAUAUUAUUCCACAUGGCCAACUAUCUCUUGCUCUCUCCAUAUCCCUCUCUCUCUCUCUGAUAUUUUCUGACUUUGAAUGCUCUAUAAUAAUACAAGAGCCAAGAAGUCAAUGUCUUAAGCGUUCCUCUGUAUGGUUUAGGCUCCAUGAAAAUAAAGCAAUAUGGAGAAAAGACCAACAGCCUUCUUUUACACACAUGGUGUCUUCUUUGUGUGGUUAUGUUUAGCUGCUUCUGCUUCUUGUGAUGAGCUCACAUUGAGUUUCUACUCAGCUUCAUGCCCUUCUGCUGAGCUCAUGGUCAGAAACACAGUCAGAUCAGCUUCUGACAUAGACCCUACCAUCCCUGGGAAGCUUCUUCGCUUGCUCUUCCAUGAUUGCUUUGUGGAGGUAAACAACUCUAGCUUGCUCUCUUAGAUGCCUUAUGCCUCAUUGAUUUUCGGCAUUGAUUUGAAUUGACACUAAGCUCCCUCCCCCAAGGAAAAAAAAAAUCUUAAACCAUGAAAAUGGGUGGCUUCUUUCAUGCAUGUUUGUUUGUGUAAUGUUUUUCAUGAUUUCAGGGUUGUGAUGCAUCUGUGCUUCUACAAGGAACUGGGACUGAGAGAAGUGAUCCAGCAAACACAUCUCUGGGAGGCUUUUCAGUGAUUGAUUCAGCAAAAAGACUGCUUGAAAUUUUCUGUCCAGGAACUGUUUCUUGUGCUGACAUUGUUGCUUUGGCUGCUAGAGAUGCUGUUGAAAUUGUUAAGAUCCAUCUCCCUCAUUAACUGUUAUGUUUAAUUCUUCAUUAAUUCUUUUUUAAUUUUCUGCAUCUUCUAGUUGGGUAUUUAUUAUAUUUAUGGUAUGACUGGAAAACAGUCUGGGGGACCUGUAGUUCAGAUUCCAACUGGUAGGAGAGAUGGAAAGGUUUCUGCAGCUUCAAAUGUCAGGCCUAAUAUUGUAGACACAAGUUUUACAAUGGAUGAGAUGAUUAAGCUCUUCUCAUCUAAAGGGUUGUCUUUGGAUGACCUUGUCACCCUAUCAGGUACAAUUUUAUUUAUCUAGACACGUGUUUUUGCUUGCCAAAAGUUUGAUUGAACCACUUUUUUGUUAGUUUAAAAAUUUAAUGAGAGGUUGAAGUCUUUUAGGUACACCAUUAACUGCUUUCUUUGAUGAUAUUAUUCCAGGAGCUCACACUAUUGGAUCAGCUCAUUGUGGCGCAUUCAGUGACAGGUUCCAACAAGACUCCAAGGGGAAACUCAAACUCAUUGACACAUCCUUAGACAACGCUUAUGCAGAGGAGCUCAUGAGACAGUGCCCUGCGGGCGCAAAUCCAUCUACAACAGUCAAAAUUGAUCCUAACACUUCGUUUGCGUUCGAUAAUCAUUACUACCAAAAUCUCUUAGCCCACAGAGGGCUAUUUCAAUCGGAUUCCGUCCUGUUAAGUGAUGACAGAACAAGGAAGCUAGUGGAGAGUUUUGCACAGGACCAAGUUAUUUUCUUGGAGAGUUGGGCUCAGUCAUUCUUGAAGCUUGCUAGCAUUGGCGUCAAGACUGGUGAAGAAGGCGAAAUUCGAGCCUCUUGUCCAACAACUAAUGCAUGAGAGAAUGAAAAAUAGUUGCAAAUUUGCAAGUUCUUACUUUGAAAGUGUUACGUCCUCAAUGCCACAAGUUGCUUAAAAUUAAAACAACUUUAAGAUGCAUUUGUAAAAAUUUUAUAUUGUUUAUGUUACAUUAAAAUUUACAAGAGUUCUUUAUUCGUUUGUUUGCUGUGUUGGCCUCUCUGUAAAAUGAAGAGAAAAACCAAAAUGAAUGUUAUCUUUAUGUUAUCAUAUUCAUGACAAAUAUAAACCUUUUUUUUCUCAUUUUAAAUUUAAAACACAUCCAUUUGCAGGGAAUUAAACGUAGAAACAUAAAGUGACCGUUUCCCAUUUAAAACCGAUAUUUCAAACAAACUAAACUCAACGCGCCAUUGUUGCUGCCACCACUUAGCUCUGUAGCUCUGAACUAGCGCGUACUUGGACCCAGAGCUACCUCUGUUUGUUAGUCUUACAUUGCUCUUCCUUCACCAUAACUCAUAACACCAUACUAGUUACUAGCAGAGCCUACUUCCCUCGUUUUCUUUGAAUUUCCAACAAAAUUAGAUCUUUUUUAUUUUGUUUUUUGGCUCGACCAAAUUGGCAUGACCAAGUUGGUGAAUUCAAUUUCUUUUUAGCGUUGGGUGUUCGAAAAAGGGAAAGGCUUUAUCUUUGUUUAUGUAGCGAAAACGGCAUUGGUGGCUUCUUAUGAAUGAGGGCACUGCACUCGCUCCUUGGCAGCACAGUGAAUGCUUUGUGCAAGGUUUCGAUAACCCAUUGUAGAGAAAUCAAAUUAGGGGUCCUCGCAGACGUUUACUACGGCAACAAUAUCCUAAAUGGAUAUGCAAGAUGUCAUGAUUUUUUUCUUGCUCACAAAAUGUUCGACGACAUGCCCCAAAGAGACACUGUGUCUUGGAAUACGAUGAUUGCUGGGCAUGUGAACUAUGGGAACUUUGAGACUGCGUGGGAGAUACUAAGAGAGAUGAAAGGAUGCGGAUUCGAUUUUGAUGGGUAUACAUUUGGAAGCAUACUUAAGGGGGUCGCUUGUGCUUAUCGAUGUGAUCUUGGGGAACAAGUGCAUUCCAUGGUUGUUAAGACUGGUUACGUGGGUAAUGUUUAUUCGGGAAGUGCUCUUUUGGACAUGUAUGCAAAGUGUGGGAGAGUUGAGGAAGCGUAUGUGGUCUUCGAUUCCUUGCCAGAACGUAAUUCUGUGUCAUGGAAUGCAUUAAUUGCUGGUUUUGUGCAAGUAGGUGAUCGUAAAACUGCAUUUUGGUUGAUGAAUUGUAUGGAGCAGGAGGGGGUGAAGCUUGAUGAUGGCGCAAUUGCUCCAAUAUUGACAUUACUUGAUGAUGCUGAGUUUUACAAGUCCACAAUGCAAAUCCAUUGUAAAAUUCUGAAACAUGGGCUGGAUUGUAAAAGUACUGUGUGCAAUGCCACAAUCACUUCAUACUCAGAGUGUGGGUCGAUAGAAGAUGCCGAAACAGUGUUUGAUGGUGCUUUUGGUAGCAGAGAUUUGGUAACAUGGAAUUCCAUGCUAGCAGCAUACUUGAUUCAUAAGAAAGAACUACUCGCUUGCAAACUCUUCAUAGACAUGCAAAUGCUUGGGUUUGAACCAGAUAUCUACAGUUAUACGAGCAUCAUCAGUGCCUAUUCUGAAGAUGUACAUAAAAACCAUGGAAAAUCCUAUCAUGGAUUGGUAAUAAAAAGGGGACUAGAAAAGUCAGAGCCAAUCUCUAAUGCUUUGAUAGCCAGGUAUCUCAAGUCAAAUAGCAAUUCCAUGGAAGAAGCAUUACAGAUAUUUAAAUCUAUGGAGUCUAAGGAUCGUGUUUCUUGGAACUCCAUUUUGACUGGAUUAUCACAAAUGGGGUUGAAUGAAUAUGCCUUGAAAUUCUUUGGACAUAUGAGAUACGCGGAGGUAGAUAUUGAUCAUUAUGCCUUCUCAGCUGUCCUCAGGUCUUGUUCAGAUUUAGCAACCCUCCAACUGGGUCAAGAGAUACAUGCCUUGGCACAUAAGUCAGGGCUUGAGUCCAAUGAAUUUGUUGCUAGUUCUUUGAUCUUUAUGUAUACUAAGUGUGGGAUCAUUGAGGAUGCUAGAAAAUCCUUUGAACAGACCCCCAAAGACAGCUCAAUCACUUGGAAUUCGAUUAUUUUUGGAUAUGCACAGCAUGGACAGGGAUAUGUUGCACUUGACCUCUUCUUCCAAAUGAAGAAGGAAAAAGUGAAACUUGAUCAUAUAACCUUUGUUGCAGUUCUAACAGCUUGUAGCCACAUGGGUUUGGUUGAACAAGGCUGCAAGUUUCUAAUGUCCAUGGAAUCGGAUUAUGGAAUAACCCCACGAAUGGAGCAUUAUGCUUGUGCAGUGGAUCUAUAUGGGCGCGCUGGGCGUCUAGAUGAGGCGAAAGCUUUGAUUGAAGCAAUGCCUUUUAAACCCGAUGCAAUGGUUUUGAGGACUUUAUUGGGUGCCUGUAGGGCUUGUGGGAAUAUUGAAUUAGCUAGUCAAAUAGCAGGCUAUCUGCUAGAGCUAGAGCCUGAAGAGCACUGCACUUAUGUUCUUCUUUCCGACAUGUAUGGACAUCUCAAAAGGUGGGAUGAAAAAGCUAGUGUAAAGAGGCUUAUGAGGGAAAGGGGUGUGAGAAAAGUCCCCGGUUGGAGUUGGAUAGAAAUUAAGAAUGAGGUUUUUUCUUUCAAAGCUGAAGAUCGUUCCCACUCCCAUUGUGAAGAGAUAUAUUGUGUAUUGGGAGUUUUAAUGGAGGAAAUCAAGAGGAUGGAUUUUGAUGCUAAUGUAAAGGCUUUGUUGCAUGAUUUGGAUCCUAUGGACUGGUACUGUGAUAAUGCUCUUCUCCAAAACUGUGAUUCAGUGUUGUCGGCUGCAUAAGGCAAGCUCACCAACUUUUUUCAAGAUACCAAAUUUUGUUUCACAUCCGUAUACGCUGUUGGAUCGUUAUUUCUUCUAAUGAUGCAUAUUACUUUUUUUUUCCCCUGAAAAAAGGGACUUGAGACUUUGGAAAUGGUUCAAGUUAAUCAAAUUUCUCAUUCAAUAUGAACAUAGGCUGGUUACCAAGGAAUGAAGCAAUCGUUGAAAUGCAAAUGUGAUUUCUUUCUACUUUACUUCAUUGUGAAGCAUUUUUACUUGCCUUGUUGCUAAUGUGAACUUAUUGCAAAAACCCUUUUGCUUAUAGACAAGAACAUUUUCUGAUGUGAGAACCAGAAAAAGGUGAUGGGAGGUUUUAAGGGAACUCCUGCCCUCGGAGACAGAAACCCUUUCACUUAUAGACAAGAACUCUAGUUGCUCAAGGGUUGAUAUUGUUAUGGACUUUUAUUAAAAUCAUUAAUUUCUGUUUUUUCUGUUGCAUUGAACAUAUUUUAAUAAACAAUUUCAAUUAUUACAUCAUAAGGGGUGAUGACUUUUCGAAGGGAACAUCCCAAGAGUGUGAAUACAAAUAAAACUUCAUCUUUAUGUAGUUUGGAUCAUUGCUUGAUGAAUAUUUAACAAAACACUAGAAUGCCAAAAGCAAUGAGCUGCCAUGACAGGAAUUUCCUUUGUCUUAUGUAUCCUCAUCUUUCCCAAUGCAAAUGUACCUUCAGAUUCAGAAGCUUGCUAGCACCAAACAUUGACUCAGUCUCUCUCAACUACAUUACAUUUAUAUUGUAGAAAGAAAGCCUUCUGGGUUUCAUUUGUUUCUUUGGGUUGGUUUUCUUUUGGCAUUUUGCAACACCAAAUUGGCAGCCGGUGACAGAUGAUUAAUUACUAGUUUGAAGAUUUGAUAUAAUCUUAGGCACUAUAAAAGUAGCCUUGUUAAUUAGUUUGAUUAAUGUAUAAUAUUUGAUGUAAUGGGUUGUCAAGAUUUUAUCCAGAGAUUCAGAGAAAUCUUUUUUUUUUCAAUUUUUAUUAAACCCUUUUCAUCUUUUUCAAUGGUGCACAGUGCACUAUCUGAGUGGGGGAAUUGGGAAACUAAUGGAUGAAAAAUAAUAAUUGGGGCAUGCCAAAUUGACAAAUGCGUAAAGAAGAUGAAGCCUAUCAAAAACAUUACUUGUUGGCAAUUGGAAACUGCAGGAUGAUUGGAAGUUAAGCCAUCAAAAUCUCUAUAAGCAUCUCUCUCUCACUCAUCUUUUGGGACAGAUUCCAGCUUUCUUCCACCACCCACUACAACCUCUCUGUCUACCCCACACCCAAGCAAGAUUCCAACUGAUCAUCUUCGCUCUCUGAUAACAGUUUCCAGCUAUUAAUUUAUUCCCACCAGAAAUUAGGGAUGUCCCAUUCACAAUCAAACAAACACAAGAUAACUUUGCUGGACCAACCUUGCUGCUGGCCGCCCAUUUUCUUUAAUUCUACUAAGGCAAUUACAUUAUUUGUCUUAAUCUCAAAUAUCAUGAAGUACAGAAAUGAUAAGUUUAGUUUGGAUCGUAAGAAUAUAGUGGCGGAUUCAGAUAUUUUUCUUCACGCUACAAUGGUAAAUACAAUUAGUUUCUACCUCAACCUUUUUGAGGCAUUUCGACAAACUGUUUAAGGAAAAUAUCAAUAGCUAACUGAAUUGAUGAGCCAGAUUAAGAACAUAGAUGUCCGAGUGGAGAAUAUAGUAAUUUAUAAACAAAUGAAUCGUUCCAAUAAUAAUUUUUUAAAAGAACUAAUGAUAGAGACCAAUUGUUUAAAUUAAACAACACUUGGUUUUCUUGUAAUAAUUUCAACUAGUUGGAUUGGAUGAUUGGUGUGCUCAUCGUGGACUCAAUUAUUUCUUCGGCAAGUGUACAAUUAUGUUGAUCAGGUCAACAUGGCUCCUAUACACGAUAUGUAUGAAUACUAAUAUUGUAUGAUGUUGUCAAAUUAUCAAUCCGAAGAAUUCAUGUUAUACAAUUUGGAUGAUAAAAUAUUAAUCAGCAUGCCAGAGACUUACAUAAUAGAACGAAUAAUUGUUAGUUAUAGUGGAGUUUUAACUUGUGGAGUACGUUAGAAGUGGGGUGGGGGGAUUUUGGGUGGGUGGGAAACCACUUGAAAUCCAAUAUUUUUACUUUUUGAGCAAAUAAAAGCAUGAAAAAUAAUUUCAUGAUUCCAUCGACCUCCCACCCCAUCCCAUCCCAGCAGCCUCUCUCCACCGAAAAAUCAAGUGCCGCAGAUUACAGGAUGAUUGAUUGCUUCCUAUCUCUUUUUCUGUGUGAAAGUGAAAAAACCAAUCAAUAAAAGAGAACAAAAAGACCCAACAUUGUUGACAAUUGAGAACGUUGUCUUUAUAGACCAUUUUGGUUGGACCCAAGUCAUUCAAGUGUGAAACUACCAACUAUGAAGUAGUGCCAUUCGUAUGGUAAAACAACAAGAGAACAAAACAAAUAAUGGAUGCUGAAAAAUACUGAUUGUUAAUAUUUUAUGUUUCUUCUGGAAGGAUGAGAUGAAUGCAAGAAUUUAAUUAAGGUUCCUAAUCUCAGAAUUUGCCUAAUUAACAAGAAAAUCAUGUCCUCCGGAAAAAAAAAAAAAAAUUAAUAAUGAUAACAAGAAAAUCAUGUCCGUACAGUAAUGCUAAUCAGGGUAGUACACAGGUUCACUAAGCAAUCAGGUGUGGGAUCCCUUUAGCUAUCAGUAGGACAGAUAAAUGGCCGUGCUUUUAAUACAAGAAAGUCUUCAUUCUACAUUCUCAUUCGGUCUCAUACUACAAUGUAGUUUAAUAAUUAGAAACGUCUCUUUUAGGGCACUCUUUAAAUCAUAUGUAAAAAAAAAAACAACUAAAUUGGAAAUCGUUUAGUCAUUUAAUUGUUAUUGGACGAACACAGAACUAUCCCAAUGUUACUCAAUCAGGUUAAACGAACUCCAAUUUUGUUUUUGUUUUUUGUUUUUUUUUGGGUAUAAAUGAUCUUUAAAGUGCUAUACCUCGAAAGUAAACGGUUUUCAUCCUCAUACGACAACAGAAAGAAGAAGUACAAAUGCAAAUGGAAUGUAGCAAACUUUCCCCUAUUAAUCUACCAGAAUUAAUUAUCAAACGUUUAGUGCUAAUGACGAAGAGUGAGGUCAAUGUAAGGCGGUUGCCUAAGGUCACACUCAUAGGC
rnacentral:lncRNA from 1 species